AUAUAAUACUGAUGUUAGCCGCAGACAGUAGGGGCAGUAGCUUAAAAAUCCUACCGAGGUUUAUAAUCGUAUUUUGAUUGUUCAUCUCACGCGGCGUGAGAUUUUUUUUAUUUAUGG
rfam:Clostridiales bacterium KA00134 genomic scaffold Scaffold35, whole genome shotgun sequence.